rnacentral:rRNA from 1 species
AUACAGAGGGUGCGAGCGUUAAUCGGAAUUACUGAGCGUAAAGCGCGCGCAGGCGGCUAUUUAAGUUGGAUGUGAAAGCCUACGGCUCAACCGUAGAACUGCAUCAAAAACUAUUUAGCUAGAGUGUGGGAGAGGAAGAUGGAAUUAGUUGUGUAGGGGUAAAAUCCGUAGAGAUAACUAGGAAUACCAAAAGCGAAGGCAAUCUUCUGGAACACUACUGACGCUGAGGCGCGAAAGCGUGGGGAGCAAACGGGAUUAGAAACCCCAGUAGUCC